rnacentral:rRNA from 1 species
UCCGUAGGCGGUUUUGUAAGUCAGUGGUGAAAGCCCAUCGCUCAACGGUGGAACGGCCAUUGAUACUGCAAGACUUGAAUUAUUAGGAAGUAACUAGAAUAUGUAGUGUAGCGGUGAAAUGCUUAGAGAUUACAUGGAAUACCAAUUGCGAAGGCAGGUUACUACUAAUACAUUGACGCUGAUGGACGAAAGCGUGGGGAGCGAACAGGAUUAGAUACCCUGGUAGUCCACGCCGUAAACGAUGGAUACUAGCUGUUCGGAGCAAUCUGAGUGGCUAAGCGAAAGUGAUAAGUAUCCCACCUGGGGAGUACGUUCGCAAGAAUGAA